AUACUAACUGUGCAAAGGUAGCAUAAUCAUUAGUCUUUUAAUUGAAGGCUGGUAUGAAUGGUUGGACGACAUACUAACUGUUUCAUAAAAAUUUAUAAUAGAAUUUUAUUUUUUAGUCAAAAAGCUAAAAUAUAUUUAAAAGACGAGAAGACCCUAUAAAUCUUUAUAUUUAAAUUAUUAUAAUUUUGAAGAUUUAUUUUGUUGUAAUAAUUAAUAAUAUUUUAUUGGGGUGAUAUUAAAAUUUAAUAAACUUUUAAUUUUAAAAUUCAUUAAUUUAUGAAUAAUUGAUCCAUUAAUAGUGAUUAAAAGAAUAAGUUACUUUAGGGAUA
rnacentral:rRNA from 1 species